GUCGAGCGAGUUUUCAAGUAGAUCCCUUCGGGGUGAAACUUUGAUUAUCUUAGCGGCGGACGGGUGAGUAACGCGUGAGAAACCUGCCUUUCACAAAGGGAUAGCCUCGGGAAACUGGGAUUAAUACCUUAUGAUACUUUUUCUUCGCAUGAGGAAAAAGUCAAAGCGCAAAGCGGUGAAAGAUGGUCUCGCGUCCCAUUAGUUAGUUGGUGAGGUAACGGCUCACCAAGACAGCGAUGGGUAGCCGGCCUGAGAGGGUGAACGGCCACACUGGAACUGAGACACGGUCCAGACUCCUACGGGAGGCAGCAGUGGGGAAUAUUGCACAAUGGAGGAAACUCUGAUGCAGCGACGCCGCGUGAACGAUGAAGGCUUUCGAGUCGUAAAGUUCUGUCCUAGGGGACGAUAAUGACGGUACCCUAGGAGGAAGCCCCGGCUAACUACGCGCCAGCAGCCGCGGUAAUACGUAGGGGGCAAGCGUUGUCCGGAUUUAUUGGCGUAAAGGGUACGCAGGCGGCCUUUUAAGUCAGAUGUGAAAGAUCACGGCUCAACCGUGGUAAGCAUUUGAAACUGGAAGGCUUGAGUUAAGGAGAGGAAAGUGGAAUUCCUAGUGUAGCGGUGAAAUGCGUAGAUAUUAGGAGGAAUACCAGUGGCGAAGGCGACUUUCUGGACUUAUACUGACGCUGAGGUACGAAAGCGUGGGGAGCGAACAGGAUUAGAUACCCUGGUAGUCCACGCCGUAAACGAUGAGUGCUAGGUGUCGGGGGUCAAACCUCGGUGCCGCAGCUAACGCAUUAAGCACUCCGCCUGGGGAGUACGUACGCAAGUAUGAAACUCAAAGGAAUUGACG
rnacentral:rRNA from 1 species